rfam:Populus trichocarpa scaffold_19_contig_351, whole genome shotgun sequence.
AAUAACCAAAAAUAAAACUUGGGCUAAGGGUAACGUUGGUAAUUGUUCUUACAUCUCCCACCCCUGGAAACCAGGUAUCAUAUACGGGCCCAAAAUAAGGAGCUUUGAAUAUCUAAAAUUGUCGUAAUUUUAUUUCUCUUUCCA